GACGAACGCUGGCGGCGUGCUUAACACAUGCAAGUCGAACGGUGAUCUUGGGAGCUUGCUCCUGGGUGAUCAGUGGCGAACGGGUGAGUAACACGUGAGUAACCUGCCCCUGACUCUGGAAUAACUUCGGGAAACCGAAGCUAAUACCGGAUAUGACACAGAGCCGCAUGGUUUCUGUGUGGAAAGUCUUUUCGAUUGGGGAUGGACUCGCGGCCUAUCAGCUUGUUGGUGAGGUAAUGGCUCACCAAGGCGACGACGGGUAGCCGGCCCGAGAGGGCGACCGGCCACACUGGGACUGAGACACGGCCCAGACUCCUACGGGAGGCAGCAGUGGGGAAUAUUGCACAAUGGGCGAAAGCCUGAUGCAGCGACGCCGCGUGAGGGAUGAAGGCCUUCGGGUUGUAAACCUCUUUCAGUAGGGAAGAAGCGCAAGUGACGGUACCUACAGAAGAAGCACCGGCUAACUACGUGCCAGCCGCCGCCGUAAAAC
rnacentral:rRNA from 1 species